UGCUGCAGCGACGCAAGCGGUAUCCAGGAACCUCUGCUCCGAGUAAAGACCAAGGAUUGUUUUAAGAAAAUGGCAGACAAGCCCGACAUGGGGGAAAUCGCCAGCUUCGAUAAGGCCAAACUGAAGAAGACGGAGAUGCAGGAGAAGAACACCCUGCCGACCAAAGAGACCAUUGAGCAGGAGAAACGGAGUGAAAUUUCUUAAGAACCUGGAGGACUCCUCACCCCCGU